UCAUUCUUCAUCUCUCAUUCAUCUACAAGCAUCCAUCACUCUUCAAUUCUUUUCUUUCAUCUUCCAUUCAUCCAUGUCCACUUGAGAGAGUAUUUGGAAGGUUUUGAGAGCAAUCAAUUUCAGCAAUGUUUAGAGCUUCUAAGCUUGGUAGUCACAGAAAGAAGAGAAGAACGAAGGAGGAGCAAACUAAAGAUGACGCUGGGCCGUCACGAGAAAAAGGAAAAGCGAAAGUUAUUGACAAGUGAUGAGAGAAAUUUGAUUUGUACUUUUAUGAUUUGAGAUCAUACUAUUUAUAUGCAUACAUAUUGAUUGCAUGACUAGAUAUUGAGUAAGAUUAUGACUUGUUCCAUGAAUUAAUUUGUAUUCAUGAUAUUGAAUAUCGAAAAAUUGGACUAAAUUGAAUAUAGUAGAAAAGAGUAAAUUAUAUUUGAUAAA